rnacentral:lncRNA from 1 species
AAAACACCAUCUGAUACAACAAGUAUCAUUUUCCGGAAUACAUUUAACAAGUUACUAUUAAAAGAUAACUCUUGAUUUGGUUAAUAUGAAAAGAAAAGGAAAUUAGGGUAUAUUAUUUUAUAUUAAUAUGAAUAUUACUUAAUUAUUUUGUCAGACAUUUAUCCUUUAGUUGGUUGUGAUUGGACUGAACAGUUGGCUCAACUGGUCUAGCAGCUAAUGGGAGACCUGGACUGCAUACGGCACUUCCCCAACGCCCACUUCCACCGCCAUUUAUGUCCCCUGGCCUCUCCACCUCCUCCGUCUUCAUCACCGCCGGGAAAAACCCUCCUCCUAUUCUCUCCCACAUCAAACACCCAAACCAGAACAAUCAACACCAAAAUUGCCAGUGCUGGGUACAGGAAGAAGGGGAAGAUGAAGAUGGCAGAGAUCUGACUCUCAGACCUCAUUUCUUGCUAGUAUAUACAUAUAUAUACACACACAUACAGUGAGAGUCGUAUACAUACCUAUGAUUCAAUCAGUUUCAGCAAAAGGGAAUAGCAAAAGAGAGACACUUUGCAGUUGUUCCGGCAGCCGCCGAUAAUUCACAGGCAGCGGCAGUGAGGAAUCAACUAGGAGAAAGCCAAAGCCUUAUCUGUUGGUUUUACC